rnacentral:rRNA from 1 species
CCUACGGGAGGCAGCAGUGGGGAAUAUUGCGCAAUGGGCGAAAGCCUGACGCAGCGACGCCGCGUGAGGGAUGAAGGUCUUCGGAUCGUAAACCUCUGUCUGCAGGGAAGUACCGUCACUUUGCUAAUCAGCAUUGAAUUGACGGUACCUGCAAAGGAAGCACCGGCUAACUCCGUGCCAGCAGCCGCGGCAAUACGGAGGGUCGGUGCGUUAAUCGGAAUUACUGGGCGUAAAGCGCGCGUAGGCGGUAUGGCAAGUGAACGGUGAAAUGUCCGGGCUCAACGUGGGAACUGCCUCUUGAACUGGCGAGCUGGAGUGUGCGGAAGGCAAGUGGAAUUCCAGGUGUAGGGGUGAAAUGCGUAGAUA